rnacentral:rRNA from 1 species
GAUGAACGCUGGCGGCGUGCCUAAUACAUGCAAGUCGAGCGAACAGACGAGGAGCUUGCUCCUCUGACGUUAGCGGCGGACGGGUGAGUAACACGUGGAUAACCUACCUAUAUGACUGGGAUAACUUCGGGAAACCGGAGCUAAUACCGGAUAAUAUAUUGAACCGCAUGGUUCAAUAGUGAAAGACGGUUUUGCUGUCACUUAUAGAUGGAUCCGCGCCGCAUUAGCUAGUUGGUAAGGUAACGGCUUACCAAGGCAACGAUGCGUAGCCGACCUGAGAGGGUGAUCGGCCACACUGGAGCUGAGACACGGUCCAGACUCCUACGGGAGGCAGCAGUAGGGAAUCUUCCGCAAUGGGCGAAAGCCUGACGGAGCAACGCCGCGUGAGUGAUGAAGGUCUUCGGAGCGUAAAACUCUGUUAUUAGGGAAGAACAAAUGUGUAAGUAACUAUGCACGUCUUGACGGUACCUAAUCAGAAAGCCACGGCUAACUACGUG